AACAAGGCGUACCUGCGGACCUGCGGAAGGAUCAUUACCAAGGUUGAAUAUAAUACUAUUCACCCCAUUGUGUGCACUCAUUUGAACUGUUUGGAAAAGAAAAAAAAUUUUUUUUUUUCCAAAUGGUUCCAACCAAUUUUCUUCCAUCGCUUUACUGUCUUUGUCUGACCGAUACUUUCAUAUAACUUUCAAAUACAACUUUUAACAACGGAUCU
rnacentral:misc_RNA from 1 species